rnacentral:rRNA from 1 species
UCGAUUGUAGGAUAGAGGCCUACCAUGGUGGUAACGGGUAACGGGGUGUUAGGGCACGACACCGGAGAGGGAGCCUGAGAAACGGCUACCACAUCCAAGGAUGGCAGCAGGCGCGCAAAUUACCCAAUCCCGACACGGGGAGGUAGUGACAAUAAAUAACAAUACGGGGUUCUUUAGGAUCUCGUAAUUGGAAUGAGUACAAUUUAAAUCUCUUAACGAGGAACAAUUGGAGGGCAGGUCUGGUGCCAGCAGCCGCGGUAAUUCCAGCUCCAAUAGCGUAUAUUAAAGUUGUUGCAGUUAAAAAGCUCGUAGUUGAAUUUCGGGGUUAGUAGGUUGGUCAUGCCUCCGGUAUGUACUGAUCUCACUGAUUCCUCCUUCCUUAUGAACCGUAAUGCCAUUAAUUUGGUGUUGCGGGGAAUUUGGACUGUUACUUUGAAAAAAUUAGAGUGUUUAAAGCAGGCUAACGCUUGAAUACAUUAGCAUGGAAUAAUGAAAUAGGACGUUCGAUCUUAUUUUGUUGGUUUCUAGGAUUGACGUAAUGAUUAAUAGGGAUAGUUGGGGGCAUUAGUAUUCAAUUGUCAGAGGUGAAAUUCUUGGAUUUAUUGAAGACUAGCUACUGCGAAAGCAUUUGCCAAGGAUGUUUUCAUUAAUCAAGAACGAAAGUUAGGGGAUCGAAGACGAUCAGAUACCGUCGUAGUCUUAACCAUAAACUAUGCCGACUAGGGAUCGGAUGAUGUUAAUUUUUUAAUGACUCAUUCGGCGCCUUAC